GAGGAAUUUGAUGGAGUGUUUGCCACACGACGAACAUACAGAAUGUCUUUUCGACAGGUAAACUAAACUUAAGUAUUCCUAAUUAAUAUGUUGGACCUUUUAUUAAAAGUAGCAGCCUACUUAUACCUGUUGACACAUACCUUCGCUUUUAAACACAUGCAAGAGCUGUGUUUGUGAUGUUUAAGUUAGGGAAGGUUUGGCAGGUGAAAGCGGCGUUUGGAAAGGUUGUUUGAAAACAUGUAGUUCCACUAGAUUACAGCAGCGGUGCAGACACUGCAUACUUGCAGGCCUUCUUGGACUUUUUGUCAUUUGACUCUUUUGAAAGAGUUUACAUGUGGCUUAUGUUGUGUUUUAAACCCCGUAUUCUCUUUAUGAUUUUCAGUCUUUGAUUUUUUUUUUCAGUACACAAUAUCUCUCUGUCUAGAGAUGCUUUUAAUCAUUAUUAUUGUUUUGUGCUCAUGUUUGUGGUCUUUUCCCACCCAUUGUGUUUUUUUUUUAAUGGUUUAUUUAUUUAUUGCUCGCUUGCUGUCUUUUAGGCUAAAUUAAUCAAGUUACUUUGACAUCCACUUUGACGCCAUGUUUCUUAAUUUAAUUUAAAUCAGACCUAAGAUUUGACUGUAUCUCAUGUCCCUUCUAGUUGUUUAUUAUCCUCAGACUGUUCUGUUUAUACCGUCCUCUUUGCUUUUAGCUUAUUUCCUUGUCUAUCUACAAAAGUAGCUGCCGCAUCAAACCCUACAGUGUUUUUGCUAGAUUUUCCUUCUAAUGGAUUUUCACAAAGCCUAAAUGAAUCUGCUUAGGUCAUGCAAGACUUGACAUCUAUUACAAGGGCAGGUGGUAAACAUUCACCUUUAUAUUUUAAAAGAGGCAGAGUAAAGUAUGAAUAGCCUGUUUAGUGUCAAGAUAUAUCAUUUGACAGGGCAAGUGUAAGAGAAUAUGAAAAUUGGUGUAGCAUCACAGAAACAAGUAGCAUAUUUCACACUAGUGUACAUUUUCUCCUACAUCCAGUGCAAGUUUAAGUUUAGAGACAAAUCAUGUUAGAGGCAGUGAAUAAGAUCUUUCUAGUUGUCUAGCACUUGUCUAAACAUAUGCUGUUGUAGAAACAAACAAUGAUGUCAUCCAUUGUGUAUGCAAGGCACAUCCAUGCAUAAAUAUACAUGUUUCCCUAUUCAAACACAGGCUCAUCUUAACUCUUUCAUUACACUUUCUUUCAGAAUUUAACGUUGUUUUCUAUCAAUGUUUGGAACAAAUUUUAGCAUUAUCUUUUGAGUUGCAUACAGUGCUUUUCAAUAUAUUCUGGAAUUUGGAGACUUUAUUAAAGGGAUACUCCACCCCAAAAUGAAAAUUUUGUCGUUAAUCACUUACCCCAUGUCGUUCCAAACCUGUAAAAGCUUCGUUCGUCUUCAGAACACAAUUUAAGAUAUUUUGGAUGAAAACCGGGAGGCUUGUGACUGUCCCAUAGACUGCCAAGUAAAUAACAGUGUCAAGGUCCAUAAAAGGUAUGAAAGUCGUCGUCAGAAUACUCCAUCUGCCAUCAGACGUGCAAUCUGGGUUAUAUGAAGCGACGAGAACAG
ensembl:lncRNA